CACUUCGGAAGAGAGGGAAAGGCUGCUGGUGGUGUGAUGACUUGGCUAACAGGAUAUCACAGAGCUCCUGAGUCAAUCCACACUGAGAUGACCGCAUUCUGGCCUUCAGUCAGGUUCCAGGUUGUCAGUCUUGGCAGCAACUGCCUUUAUUCAGUGAACCAUCUCAUCUGAGCAUUCUCUAACGCUUGACUAUUGAUGGAAUGUGAUCAGUUGCCUCAAGUUCCCGGGCUGUGACUUCCCCACUAGGAUGGGCUGCAACUUCAAAAGCUCAGGCACAGCCCUGGAAGAGAGAGCUCAGUGAGACACCGCUCAGUCGCUGUUUCUCCUGAUUGAAACACCACCUCCUGGCUGAGAAGAAGAGUAUAAAACUGGGGGAGUGAACGAAACUCACAAGGCUCAAGGAGUACACAGAACUGCAAGGCUCCGGAAGCUUUCCCAGCUCAGCAUAUUCACAAGACCCUUCCCCCACCCCGAGGGUGGAGGGUGAGGGGGGAGG
ensembl:lincRNA Gm44160 predicted gene, 44160